UGGGGAAUUUUGGACAAUGGGGGAAACCCUGAUCCAGCCAUCCCGCGUGUGCGAUGAAGGCCUUCGGGUUGUAAAGCACUUUUGGCAGGAAAGAAACGUCGCGGGUUAAUACCCCGCGAAACUGACGGUACCUGCAGAAUAAGCACCGGCUAACUACGUGCCAGCAGCCGCGGUAAUACGUAGGGUGCAAGCGUUAAUCGGAAUUACUGGGCGUAAAGCGUGCGCAGGCGGUUCGGAAAGAAAGAUGUGAAAUCCCAGAGCUUAACUUUGGAACUGCAUUUUUAACUACCGGGCUAGAGUGUGUCAGAGGGAGGUGGAAUUCCGCGUGUAGCAGUGAAAUGCGUAGAUAUGCGGAGGAACACCGAUGGCGAAGGCGAGGCCUCCUGGGAUAACACUGACGCUCAUGCACGAAAGCGU
rnacentral:rRNA from 1 species